GUAAAUACUUUUUUAAAACUAUUAAUUUAUUUCUUCUCCAGCUGAUUCACUCAGAAAAUAUAGUCUUAAUUUUCUGCCAUGUAACCAGACUGGGUUGAAUUCUGGAAAAAUGGAAAUAAAUAGAAAAUAGUUAUUAUAUUUAAAGACUUUUUGUCUUUUGACUUUUUGUCAGAAAUAAUGUAUAGAUUAUUGGAUGGAAGCUGGUGAGCCAUAUGCAUGUGGGGCGAUUAGGGAAGAAAUUGGUGUGAAUUGGCUUAGGGCUUCUCCUAUGGACAAUUGAAGGAAAGGGCAUUCCUGGCAGGAUUAGCAUCUGUAAGGCAUGGAUAUAUAAAAGUAAUUAGGUACUGAAUGAGGGUGGGAAAGUUUUGAGAAGUUAUACUGGAAAGGAAUUGAGGCAUUUGAUCUUAAAGGGUCUUGUACUCUAUGAUAAGAAGUUUGGUGAACUUUAGAAGAUUUGCAGAGGGCACUGAAGGUCUGUACACUACAGGAACAGAAGAAGGGAAAGAACGUGAGAUAAGGCAGAAGCAAUGUGAAUGAGGAAGAGAGUGAACUGAGGAGUAA